rnacentral:rRNA from 1 species
AAUAGAUACCCGGGUAGUCCACCCGUAAACGUUGGGAACUAGUUGUGGGGUCCUUUCCACGGAUUCCGUGACGCAGCUAACGCAUUAAGUUCCCCGCCUGGGGAGUGCGGCCGCAAGGCUAAAACUCAAAGGAAUUGACGGGGACCCGCACAAGCGGCGGAGCAUGCGGAUUAAUUCGAUGCAACGCGAAGAACCUUACCAAGGCUUGACAUACACCGGAAACGGCCAAAGAUGGUCGCCCCGCAAGGUCGGUGUACAGGUGGUGCAUGGUUGUCGUCAGCUCGUGUCGUGAGAUGUUGGGUUAAGUCCCGCAACGAGCGCAACCCUCGUUCUAUGUUGCCAGCACGUAAUGGUGGGAACUCAUGGGAUACUGCCGGGGUCAACUCGGAGGAAGGUGGGGAUGACGUCAAAUCAUCAUGCCCCUUAUGUCUUGGGCUUCACGCAUGCUACAAUGGCCGGUACAAAGGGCUGCAAUACCGUGAGGUGGAGCGAAUCCCAAAAGCCGGUCCCAGUUCGGAUUGAGGUCUGCAACUCGACCUCAUGAAGUCGG